GAGCGGGCGGAGUAGUGGUGUGGACUGACCCCUGCGACUCUCAUGCAGCAGCUGAGAGCCAGAGUGUCGCCAGAAAGGACUGAGAACAGGGUUGAGCUCCAACAGCUCCUCGGAGUAAGGACUGACACCCAAGUGUUCGUGUGUGUUCCCAGAAUGCCCGACACAGCUGAGCUCUCAAGAGGAACGCAAGGAAUGCAGAAUCCAACAGUUCUGACAUGAUACACUCCAGCAGAAGGAAUUUACCCUCUUGUUGCAUUUAAAGAUCCUGCCUAUUCUGCAGCUGUUACUCAUUAUAUAAGCUGACUAAAGGUUCAAGUAUAAAUAUGAGGAAGAACAGAACGAGUACCAUCUUACCUGCUCAUUUCAUUUUCCAAGUUCCACAUAUCAAUGUGUGCAAUGAGGAAAAACAUUAGAGAAGACAGCAAGCUGUGGAAUCCAGAACUGCUGAAGAAAUAAUGGAUGGAGAGAGAAGAUUUUUUUUUUAAUUCUGAAAAGAAGCAGCAUUUAGGCAUGGCUAGUAGUAUUUAUAGUAGUACUUAAAAGAUUCAGUUGUGAUUGGGACUCUGAAAUUCUGUGCACUGUUUUUACACAUGGUAAGAGACAGUUCCUGCUCCUGGAAUCUAAACAGAGAAAAACAUAAAAGGGAACAGUGAAACACUGUGGUAUUAGCCCCAAAUUUAGGACUAGAGGUCUCUCAAUAAUGAAGUAACUUGCCCAAAUGCAUAGCAGACCUGGGAGCAGAACCCAGCCCAAUGACCCAAUCACAAAACCAACCAUUCUGGCUUUAAGAUUCAUAUGGGUAACCUUCCAGGGCUUCAGGUAAGUAUUAAAUUAUAAUUCCAACAUACAUUAAGUUUCUUAUUCAAACCAAACCCUAAACCCAAACCUCUUGAGGUUCUCUCAACACUGUUAAUGUGUUUGUCAGAACAUAUUCCAAACAGAAAUGUGCAUUCAGCAGACAAUAGUGAUUGUUGUGGGUGGUAAGAUAUGCAGUGGGUUGCAGUAGCACGGAUUAUAUCCUGUAUCUUUUUAAUAUAAUUCAUGGCUUGUAUUUCAAAAACUGUUUAUAAUUAAGAGUAAA